rnacentral:rRNA from 2 species
GUGGGUAGUUUGACUGGGGCGGUCUCCUCCUAAAGAGUAACGGAGGAGCACGAAGGUUGGCUAAUCCUGGUCGGACAUCAGGAGGUUAGUGCAAUGGCAUAAGCCAGCUUGACUGCGAGCGUGACGGCGCGAGCAGGUGCGAAAGCAGGUCAUAGUGAUCCGGUGGUUCUGAAUGGAAGGGCCAUCGCUCAACGGAUAAAAGGUACUCCGGGGAUAACAGGCUGAUACCGCCCAAGAGUUCAUAUCGACGGCGGUGUUUGGCACCUCGAUGUCGGCUCAUCACAUCCUGGGGCUGAAGUAGGUCCCAAGGGUAUGGCUGUUCGCCAUUUAAAGUGGUACGCGAGCUGGGUUUAGAACGUCGUGAGACAGUUCGGUCCCUAUCUGCCGUGGGCGCUGGAGAACUGAGGGGGGCUGCUCCUAGUACGAGAGGACCGGAGUGGACGCAUCACUGGUGUUCGGGUUGUCAUGCCAAUGGCACUGCCCGGUAGCUAAAUGCGGAAGAGAUAAGUGCUGAAAGCAUCUAAGCACGAAACUUGCCCCGAGAUGAGUUCUCCCUGAGACUUAGAGUCUCCUGAAGGAACGUUGAAGACGACGACGUUGAUAGGCCGGGUGUGUAAGCGCAGCGAUGCGUUGAGCUAACCGG